rnacentral:lncRNA from 1 species
AUAACCCUAAAAAAUCUCCUCAUUUCUUUUCAAAAAUCAAGCAAGUAAAUUUUUAUAUUCUCAAUUAAUUCUUUCAAGCAAUGAUUUCUGACUAUUCACGUAAUCAAUUCAUCAUUGAAUCAGCCACACUACCACAAUAACAAAUUUUCAAAAAUUAUUAAAAAUUCAAGAAUUCAAAUUUAGAUAAAUAAAGGUUCAAAUUUAUUUUUAUGUAGUUUUUUUUUUAAUUUAAAAGUCAAAAUUAUUAUAAAAAUAUGAAACAAAAAAUAGAAAACGGUGG